rnacentral:lncRNA from 1 species
ACAAGAUCAAAAGAUGGAUGAACCAUUACCUCUUCUCGUCCCACAAUAUCAAGAUACGCAUCAAAUUUUGGCAAUUGAUCCAAAUCAAUGUCUUUGUAUUGAGGAUUUGUUGUAGACACGAAUGGCCAAUUAGUAUUCUCCUCGGAAGGAAUAAUAUUGUCGAGAGAAACAAAGUUACCAUUUUCCUCAUUAUCCUCAUAACAAAC